rnacentral:lncRNA from 1 species
GAAGCAAAAACUGUUUUCAACUAAUUAUCCCCUAUUCAAUUUUUUUGGCUAUAUAAUGCAAUAUCUAGUCAAUGUCACAUGUGAGAAAAGAAAGUUAUAUGCAAAAGCAAAAAAGCGUAGCUAGUCCAGCAACUAGUAGUUCAAAAUUUUGAUAGUAAGCAGCUUUUAUCCGAAAAUAUGCGAGUGACUGAGGGAAGCAACUUAUUAUUACAUAAGCAUAAAAAAAGCAGAAACUUAAUACUCAUUGAAGCAAAAACUGCUUCACCUAAUUGUCAACAACUCGAAAAAGCGUAGCUAGUCCGGCAACUACUACUUCAAAAAAUUGGAUAGUAAGCAAGUUUUAUCAAAAAAGAUGUGAGUGGGGAGCAACUAAUUAUCACAACAACCCUAAAAAAAGCAAAAUCCGAAUGCAUAAGGAUGAAAGAAGCCGCUUCAAUUGACUACAUAAUGCAAUUUCUAGUCAUUAUUCUUACCUAUCUUAAAGCAAACAAUCUGGAAAAGAGACAAAGGGUAGCUAGAGUAGCAACUUGUAGUUCAAAAAUUAGGAUAGGAUGCAGCUUUUACUAGAAUAGUCGAGUGACUGAAAAGCAACUAAUUACACACUUAGUCUAGCAACUCAUGGUCCACCGAAAGUUUAGCCCAGAAGUUUAGAGGAAGGACUAAGGGCAUCUCCAAUGGUUGAUACUAAGUAGGUACUAGUCCUAUGUGGCGGAGAGAUAGAUAGAAAAGAAUAGUACCUGUUACUUGCAGAAGUAACAGCUUCUACGCGGAAACCAAGAACAAAAGGAGGAUGACAUGUGGGUUCAUUAGAAAAUAGAAGUGAAUAAAAAAUAAAAAGAAGAGAGGGAAAUCAUAAAAUAAAAAUUAGUAACGGCUUGUUGUUGAAGAUGUCCUAAGGAGAAUUGAUUGGACAUUGAUUUGGCCUAAUUUGAUACAGCAACUCCUAAUUCAGCACAUUUUCUUCGGAAGGAAAAUGUUUGCUAUAACAUGCUUAUAACAUAGAACCGAAUUGGCACAUGGCAAUGUUAGCUAUAACAUAGAACCGAAUUGGGACAUGACGGAUCAAAAUUGAG